CCCUCUCAUUCCCCAAUCGUGCCCCUCUCAUCUGCUAAAAACGAGCUCCUAAACUCGUGCGGUGACCGCGAAUGCCGCCACCAUUGCCGCGAGCAUCAUCGCCCCAGCGCCCCGCGGUCGUGUCCAGCAACUCCGCCGUCGUUCGCUUCUUCACCUUCGUCCAUUUGAUCCAGCCGGACUCGACCAUGCCGUCGGGAUCGAGCUUCUUCUUCAACUUCGGCCGCCGUCAUCCACCGCGUCGAUCUGCUCGUCACCGACCGUCCCCGGCCUCGUCAAGCCCUCCCCGAGCUAUGAUGUGAGCCUCGGAUCCUCCUUGACCUCCCCUUGUUUCUUCCCGUACCCCAUAGGUUAGCUCCUGUCGUAGCCUCGCCGUCCCUCGCCGCUCGAGCUUUGGCCGAGUUCUCAGUCACCCCGGUCACCUGCGCCCGUCUGCGCCCUCCUGCUGCAGUCCCGCUCGUCGCCCGUGUUCCGCAUGCGCCCUUGUGCCGCGCGCGCCGCGAGCUGCUCGCUACAGCCGCGUGCCUUGUCGGUUCCUUGGCCGCGCUCCCCGGCCCGCCUCACUCGCGCCUGCGGCUGCUGGGGCCCCGACUAUGCUGGCCAUGUCCUCCAACGUGCCCCGCCCCUGCAAGCCCAUGCCUGGCCGCUUCCCCGCCAUGCGCCCGUGGCUGCCGCCGCUGCUCAGCUGUUGUUGGUGCGUUCUGCUACUAUCGCGCCUGUUGUUGUGUGCCGCUGGAGCUGUUGGCUUGCUAUUGUUGUUGCUGCUAUGCGCUAACGUUGCUCUCUGCUCUCCUGCAUCUUGCCACUGCGUUGCUGCUUGCAGUUGGCCAUGGCCAUGGCCGAGUGUGGCGUGUGCUGUGUGUGUGUGUGUGUGUGUCCAGAGCCUCACGGCCGGCCCAAAAUCNNNNNNNNNNNNNNNNNNNNNNNNNNNNNNNNNNNNNNNNNNNNNNNNNNNNNNNNNNNNNNNNNNNNNNNNNNNNNNNNNNNNNNNNNNNNNNNNNNNNNNNNNNNNNNNNNNNNNNNNNNNNNNNNNNNNNNNNNNNNNNNNNNNNNNNNNNNNNNNNNNNNNNNNNNNNNNNNNNNNNNNNNNNNNNNNNNNNNNNNNNNNNNNNNNNNNNNNNNNNNNNNNNNNNNNNNNNNNNNNNNNNNNNNNNNNNNNNNNNNNNNNNNNNNNNNNNNNNNNNNNNNNNNNNNNNNNNNNNNNNNNNNNNNNNNNNNNNNNNNNNNNNNNNNNNNNNNNNNNNNNNNNNNNGUUUAACUAAAUUAUUUUUUAACACAUGUUACACUUACAAGUGGGUCCACUGACCCUGUUGACUGGCCAACCAUUGACCUGGUCAAGAGUCAACCGAACCCCCCCGACCCACAUGUCUGCCCAUAUGCUACACUUCUGUGUACCAGAGCUAGGUACCCAUAGCAAUUUUCUUUUAUUUCGAAUUAAAUUAAAUUGCAAAAUAUCAAUAAAACUUUAGAAAUUCGUAUAAAAUAAUCUGUAACUCGGAUGAAAAAGUUUUAUACAUGAGAGUUGCCCAAAAAGGCUAGACGAACCCGAAUACGCAGUCCGUUCGUCUGACACACAUCCCUAGCACAGUGAACAUGUAAACUUCCCCCUCCGGUUCGUUUGUCCGAAAAAUGCAAAUUUCGGGGAAACAUUCCCGGAUGUUAUUCCCCUUCGCGGGUAUCGUGUAGCUUUGCGUUAGAGCACCCCUGGCGCUGCUUAUUACCUGUCAUGCAUCUGUUUGCUCUAUAUUUACUGUUUCUUCCCCCCUCUUCUCUCUGGUAGACCCCGAGACUGAUGCUGCCCCUAUUAUCAACUACGUCAACGAUGACCCUUAUUCCCUUUCAGCGGAGCUUCCAGGCAAGCCCCCCCUUUGAUCAUCCCGAUAUCGCCCAUUUAAUUCUCUCAUGCUUGCACUAGAUUUUGCUACUGUAAUUGAUUGCUCCUAUUCUGAUGCAUAGCCUGCUUUUGUAACCUGCUUAUUGUUACCUACCUGCUUAUCCUAAAUUGCUUAGUAUAGGUUGGUUAGUGAUCCAUCAGUGCCCACCACCUUGACCUUGUUGCCCCUGCUUCAUCAUCGACGACUCGAUCAACAUGAUCGAUGACCAGAGCCCGACACCUCACAUCACAUCACGCCCCUUUUGUUGCUUGACUCUGAAGAGCUACUAUCGAGUGUCGAGGGUGAUCCCUCAUAACACAUUCCUGAUGAUAAUUCUGUAGUGUAGCUAUUCUGUCGUGAUCAACAAGGGUGGUUCCUUGCUACGUCUUGAUCUUGCGGUGGUUUUCCUUGAAGAGGAAAGGGUGAUGCAGCAAUAGUAGCAUAAGUAUUUCCCUCGGUUUUUGAGAACCAAGGUAUCAAUCCAGUAGGAGGCUCCUCAAAAGUCCCACACACCUACACAAACAAACAAAGAACUCGCAACCAACGCAAUAAAGGGGUUGUCAAUCCCUUCAAGGCCACUUGCGAAAGUGAGAUCUGAUAGAGAUAGUAUGAUAAGAUAAAUAUAUUUUUGGUAUUUUAUAAUAUAGAUGCAAAAGAUGAAGAUGCAAAUAAAAGUAGAUUGGAAGCAAAUAUGAUAAGAGAUAGACCCGGGGGCCAUAGGUUUCACUAGAGGCUUCUCUCAAGAUAGCAUAAGUAGUACGGUGGGUGAACAAAUUACUGUCGACCAAUUGAUAGAAAAGUGAAUAAUUAUGAGAUUAUCUAGACAUGAUCAUGUAUAUAGGCAUCACGUCCGCAACAAGUAGACCGACUCCUGUCUGCAUCUACUACUAUUACUCCACACAUCGACUGACUCCUUCCUGCAUCUACAGUAUUAAGUUCAUAAAGAACAGAGUAACGCAUUAAGCAAGAUGACAUGAUGUAGAGGGAUAAAUUCAUGCAAUAUGAUAUAAACCCCAUCUUUUUAUCCUCGAUGGCAACAAUACAAUACGUGCCUUGCAACCCUUUCUGUCACUGGAUAAGGACACCGCAAGAUUGAACCCAAAGCUAAGCACUUCUCCCAUGGCAAGAAAGAUCAAUCUAAUAGGCCAAACCAAACUGAUAAUUCUAAGAGACUUGCAAAGAUAACUCAAUCAUUCAUAAAAAAAUUCUGAGAAAAUUCAAAUAUUUCUCAUAGAUAAACUUGAUCAUAAGCCCACAAUUCAUCGGAUCUCGACAAACACACCGCAAAAAGAGUUUACAUCGAAUAGAUCUCCACAAGAGAGGGGGAGAACAUUGUAUUGAGAUCCAAAAAGAGAGAAAAAGCCAUCUAGCUAAUAACUAUGGACCCGAAGGUCUGUGGUAAACUACUCACAACUCAUCGGAGGGGCAAUGGUAUUGAUGUAGAAGCCCUCCGUGGUCGAUUCCCCCUCCGGCGGAGCGCCGGCGAAGGCUCCAAGAUGGGAUCUCGCGGAUACAGAAGGUUACGGUGGUGGAAAUUGUGUUUCGUUGGCUCCCUGGAUGUUUUCAAGGUACGUAGGAUUAUAUAGGAGGAAGAAGUACAUCGGUGGCCGCCCGAGGGGCCCAAGAGACAGGGGGGCGUGCCCUAUAGGGGGGCGUCCUACCCUCUCGUGGCCGCCUCGGCUGCUUCUUGACUUGCACUCCAAGUCUUCUGGAUCACGUUCAUUUCAAAAAUCACGGUCCCGAAGGUUUCAUUCCAUUUGGACUCCGUUUGAUAUUCCUUUUUUUUCGAAAUACUGAAAUAGGCAAAAAACAGCAAUACGGGUUGGGCCUCCGGUUAGUAGGUUAGUCCCAAAAAUGAUAUAAAUGUGUAAAAUAAAACCCAUAAACAUCCAAAAGGGGUAAUAUAAUAGCAUGGAACAAUCAAAAAUUACAGAUAUGUUGGAGACAUAUCGAGCAUCCCCAAGCUUAAUUCCUGCUCAUCCCCGAGUAGGUAAAUGAUAAAACCGGAAUUUUUGAUGUAGAAUGCUACCUAGCAUAAUUCUCAAUGUAAUUUUCUUUAUUGUGGCAUGAAUAUUCAGAUCCAAAUGAUACAAAAUAAAAGUUCAUAUUAACAUGAAAAUAGUGAUACUUCAAGCAUACUAAUCAAAGUAAUCAUGUCUUUUUAAAAUAACAUGGCCAAAGAAAGUUAUCCCUACAAAAUCAUAUAGUCUGGCUGUUGCUCUAUCUUCAUCACACAAAGUAUUUAAUCAUGCACAACCCCGAUGACAAGCCAAGCAAUUGUUUCAUACUUUAAUAAUCUCAAACUCUUUCAACUUCCACGCAAUACAUGAGCGUGAGCCAAGGACAUAGCACUAUAUGUGGAAUAGAAUGAUGGUUGUGGAGAACACAAAAAGGAGAAGAUAGUCUCACAUCAACUAGGCAUAUCAGCGGGCUAUGUAGAUGCCCAUUAGUAGAUAUCAAUGUGAGUGAGUAGGGAUUGCCAUGCAACGGAUGCACUAGAGCUAUAAAUAUAUGAAAGCUCAACAAAAGAAACUACGUGGGUGUGCAUCCAACUCGCUUGCUCACGAAGACCUAGGGCAUUUUCAGGAAGCCCAUCAUUGGAAUAUACAAGCCAAGUUCUAUAAUGAAAAAUUCCCACUAGUAUAUGAAAGUGACAACAUAUGAGACUCUCUACUAUGAAGAUCAUGGUGCUACUUUAAAGCACAAGUGUGAAAAAAGAGAUAGUAGCAUUGUCCCUUCUCUCUUUUUCUCUCAUUUUAUUUUAUUUCUUUUUUUAUUAUUUUUUUUCUUUUUUUUCUUUGGCCUUUCUCUCUUUUUUUCUUUUUGGCCUUUCUCUUUUUUUUUGUAAAGUCUGAAGUCUCAUCCCGAUUUGUGGGGGAAUCAUAGUCUUCAUCAUCCUUUCUUCACUAGGACAAUGCUCUAAUAAUGAAGAUCAUUACACUUUUAUGGAUUUACAACUCAAAGCUAGAAUAAGAUAUGACUCUAUAUGAAUGCCUCCGGCGGUGUACCGGGAUAUGCAAUGAAUCAAGAGCGGCAUGUAUGAACAUUAUGAAGGUGGCUUUGCCACAAAUACGAUGUCAACUACAUGAUCAUGCAAAGAGCAAUAUGACAAAAGUAAUGCGUGUCAUAUGAACAGAACGGUGAAAAGUUGCAUGGCAAUAUAUCUCGGAAUGGCUAUGGAAAUGCCAUAAUAGGUAGGUAUGGUGGCUGUUUUGAGGAAGGUAUAUGGUGGGUGUAUGGUAUCGGCGAAAAUUGCGCGACACAAGAGAGGCUAGCAAUGGUGGAAGGGUGAGGUGCGUAUAAUCCAUGGACUCAACAUUAGUCAAAAGAACUCAUGUACUUGUUGAAAAAAUCUAGAAGUCAUCAAAAACCAAAGCACUACGUGCAUGCUCCUAGGGGGAUAGAUUGGUACGAAAAGACCAUCGCUCGUCCCCGACCGCCACUCAUAAGGAAGACAAUCAAUCAAUAAAAUUGUGCUCCAACUUCAUCACAAAGCGGUUCAUCAUACGUGUAUGCUACGGGAAUCACAAACCCCAACACAAGUAUUUUUCAUAAUCACCUCAACUAGCAUGACUCUAAUAUCACUACCUCCAUAUCUCAAAACAAUUAUCAAGCAUCAAAUUGAUCAUAGCAUCCAAUUCGCUUUCUAUGAUAGUUUUUAUUAUACCCAACUUGGAUGCUCAUCAUUCUAGGACCAACUUUGUAACCAUAGCAAAUACCAUGCUGUUCUAAAAGACUCUCAAAAAUAUAUAAGUGAAGCAUGAGAGACUAGCAAUUUCUUGAAAAUUAAGUCACCACCGUGCUCUAAAAGAUAUAAGUGAAGCACUAGAGCAAAAACUAUCAAGCUCAAAAGAUAUAAGUCAAGCACAUAGAGUAUUCUAGCAAAUCCUAAUCAAGUAUGCUGCUCCCAAAAGGUGUGUACAUCAAGGAUGAUUGGGGUAAACUAAAAGGCAAAUAUUAAUAUAAUACACGACGCUCCAAGCAAAACACAUAUCAUGUGGCGAAUAAAAAUAUAGCUCCAAGUAAAGUUACCAAUGAACGAAGACGAAAGAAGAGAUGCCUUCCCGGGGCAUCCCCAAACUUAGCCUUUUGGCUAUCCUUGAAUAUCUUGGGGUGCCAUGGGCAUCCCCAAUCUUAGGAUCUUGCCACUCCUUAUUCCAUAGUCCAUAAAAGCUUUACCCAAAACUUGAAAACUUCACAACACAAAACACAACAGGAAAUCUUAUAAGCUCCGUUAGUGAAAGAAAACAAAACCACCACAUAAGGUAUUGUAAUAAACUCAUUCUUUAUUUAUUUUGGUGUUAAACCUACUGUAUUCCAACUUCUCUAUGGUUUAUAAACUAUUUUACUAGCGAUAGAUGCAUCAAAAUAAGCAAACAACACUCGAAAAACAGAAUCUAUCAAAAACAGAACAGUCUGUAGAAAUCUGUAACUAACGCAAACUUCUAGAACUCUAAAAAUCCUACCAAAAUAGGAAGUCCUGGACAAUUUGUCGAUUGAUCAGCAGCAAAAAUAAUCAACGCCAAAGCACAUUUCUAUGAUUUAAAAAAACUAAAUUCGUGCGUGCAAAGUUUCUGUUUUUCGGCAGAAUCAAAUCAACUAUCAUCAUAGGUUAUCCUAUAGGUUCUACUUGACACAAACACUAAUUAAAAGAUAAAAACACAUCUAAACAGAAGGUAGAUGCAAAAUUUAUUACUAAACAGGAACAAAAACAAAAAACACAAAGAAAAUUGGGUUGCCUCCCAACUAGCGCUAUCGUUUAAUGCCCCUAGUUAGGCAUAAAAGCGAAGAUAGAUCUAAGUAGUGCCAUCUUUGGCACUAAAUUCAUAAGUAGCUCACAUGAUAGACUCAUAAGAUAAUUUUACUUUCUUUCUUGGAAAGUGCUCCAUGCCUUUAUUUAAUGGAAAUUGGAAUCUAAUAUUCCUUCCUUCAUAUCAAUAAUCGCGCCAAUCAUUCUAUGGAAAGGUCUACCAAGAAUAAUAGGGCAAGAAAGAUUGCAAUCUAUAUCAAGAACGAUAAAAUCUACGGGCACCAAAUUUCUAUUAGCAAAAUGAGAACAACAUUGAUCCUUCCCAUUGGCUUUUUAAUGGUGGAAUCCGCAAGGUGCAAAUUUAAAGAGCAAUCAUCAAGAUCAUGGAAACCUAGAAUAUCACAUAAAGUUUUCGGAAUCAUGGAAACACUAGCACCCAAAUCACACAAAGCAAAACACUCAUGAUCUUUAAUUCUAAUCUUUAUAGUAGGUUCCCACUCAUCAUUAAGUUUUCUAGGUAUAGAAACUUCCAAAUUAAGUUUUUUAUCAUAAGAUUGCAUCAAGGCAUCAACGAUAUGUUUGGUAAAAGCUUUAUUUUGACUAUAAGCAUGAGAAGAAUUAACAACGGAUUGCAAUAAGGAAAUACAAUCUUCUAAAGAACAAUUAUCAUAAUCAAAUUCCUUGAAAUCUGUGAUAGUUGGUUCAAUGUUAUUUAAAGUCAUGACCUCUCCAAUCCCACUUUUACCAAAUUUAGCAUCAAUAUCUAAAAACUCUGAAUUCUUGGGACGCCUUCUAAGUAAAGUUGACUCAUCAUCAGUCCCAUAAUUAUCAAGAUUCAUAUUGCAAAACAAAGAUCUAAUAGGAGACGCAUUAAUAACUUUAAGAUCUUCAUCGUUAUUUUCAUGGAAACUAGAAGAACACGCUUUUAUAAAGCAAUCUUUCUUUGCACGCAAUCUAGCGGUUCUUUCCUUGCACUCAUCAAUGGAAAUUCUCAUUGCUUUGAGAGACUCAUUGAUAUCAUGCUUAGGAGAAGAAGAUCUAAGUUUAAGAGAAUCAACAUCAAGCGAAAGUCUAUCAAUGUUCCUAGCCAAAUCAUCAACUUUGAGCAAUUUUUCUUCAAGCAAAGCAUUAAAAUUCUUUUGAGAAAUCAUAAAUUCUUUCACACUAUUCUCAAAAUGAGAGGGCAUCUUAUUAAAAUUACCAUAAGAAUUAUUGUAGGAAUUUCCAUAAUUAUUAGAGGAAUUACUAGGGAACGGUCUAGAAUUAAAGUUUCCUCUAUAAGCAUUGUUCCCAAAACUAUUCCUACCAAUAAAAUUCACAUCUAUAGAUUCAUUAUUAUUCUCAAUCAAAGUAGACAAAGGCAUAUCAUUGGGAUCAAGAGGAGUAUUUCUAGUAGCAAACAAUUUCAUAAGUUCAUCCAUCUUUCCACUCAAAACAUCGAUUUCUUCUAUAGCAUGCACUUUUUUACUACAAGAUCUUUCGGUGUGCCAUUGAGAAUAAUUAGCCAUAAUAUUAUCAAGAAGUUUUGUAGCAUCUCCUAAGGUGAUUUCCAUAAACGUGCGUCCCGCGGCCGAAUCUAAGAGAUUUCUAGAAGCAAAGUUCAAACUGGCAUAAAAUUUUUGUAUGAUCAUCCAUAAAUUCAAACCAUGAGUAGGGCAAUUGCGAAUCAUCAAUUUCAUUCUUUCCCAAGAUUGGGUAACAUGCACAUGAUCAAGUUGUUUAAAAUUCAUAAUAUCGUUCCUAAGAGUGAUAAUCUUAGUGGGAGGAAAAUACUUAGAGAUAAAAACAUCUUUGCACUUGUUCCAAGAAUCAAUACUAUUUUUAGGCAAAGACGAAAACCAAACUUUAGCACGAUCUCUAAGUGAAGACGGAAAUAACUUCAAUUUAACAAUAUCGUUAUUCGUCUUUCUUCUUUUGCAUAUUACACAAAUCAACAAAGUUGUUUAGAUGAGUAGCGGCAUCUUCACUAGGAAGGCCGGCGAAUUGAUCUUUCAUAACAAGAUUCAGCAAAGCAGUAUUGAUUUCACAAGACUCAACAUCAUUAAGAGGAGCAAUCGGAGUACUAAGGAAAUCAUUAUUAUUGGUAUUCGAGAAAUCACACAAUUUGGUAUUAUCUUACGCCAUGGCAACAAGUAAUCCAACGCACAAGCAAACAGAAAAAAGGCAAGCGAAAAGAGAGAGAGGAGAUUGGGAAAGAGAGGGCGAAUAAAACGACAAGGGUGAAGUGGGGGAGAGGAAAACAAGAGGCAAAUGGCAAAUAAUGUAAAUGCGAGGGAGAUGAGUUUGUGAUGGGUACUUGGUAUGUCUUGACUUGAGCGAAGACCUCCCCGGCAACGGCGCCAGAAAUCCUUCUUGCUACGUCUUGAGCUUGUGUUGAUUUUCCUUGAAGAGGAAAGGGUGAUGCAGCAAUAGUAGCGUAAGUAUUUCCCUCAGUUUUUGAGAACCAAGGUAUCAAUCCAGUAGGAGGCUCCUCAAAAGUCCCACGCACUUACACAAACAAACAAAGAACUCACAACCAACGCAAUAAAGGGGUUGUCAAUCCCUUCAUGGCCACUUGCGAAAGUGAGAUAUGAUAGAGAUAGUAUGAUAAGAUAAAUAUAUUUUUGGUAUUUUAUAAUAUAGAUGCAAAAAGUAAAGAUGCAAAUAAAAGUAGAUUGGAAGCAAAUAUGAUAAGAGAUAGACCCGGGGGCCAUAGGUUUCACUAGAGGCUUCUCUCAAGAUAGCAUAAGUAGUACGGUGGGUGAACAAAUUACUGUCGAGCAAUUGAUAGAAAAGCAAAUAAUUAUGAGAUUAUCUAGGCAUAAUCAUGUAUAUAGGCAUCACGUCCGCAACAAGUAGACCGACUCCUGCCUGCAUCUACUACUAUUACUCCACACAUCGACCGACUCUUGCCUGCAUCUAGAGUAUUAAGUUCAUAAAGAAUAGUGUAAUGCAUUAAGCAAGAUGACAUGAUGUAGAGGGAUAAACUCAUGCAAUAUGAUAUAAACCCCAUCUUUUUAUCCUCGAUGGCAACAAUACAAUACGUGCCUUGCAACCCUUUCUGUCACUGGGUAAGGACACCACAAGAUUGAACCCAAACCUAAGCACUUUUCCCAUGGCAAGAAAGAUCAAUCUAGUAGGCCAAACCAAACUGAUAAUUCGAAGAGACUUGCAAAGAUAACUCAAUCAUACAUAAAAGAAUUCAGAGGAGAUUCAAAUAUUUCUCAUAGAUAAACUUGAUCAUAAACCCACAAUUCAUCGGAUCUCGACAAACACACUGCAAAAAGAGUUUACAUCGAAGAGAUCUCCACAAGAGAGGGGGAGAACAUUGUAUUGGGAUCUAAAAAGAGACAAGAAGCUAUCUAGCUAAUAACUAUGGACCCGAAGGUCUGUGGUAAACUACUCACAACUCAUCGGAGGGGCUAUGGUGUUGAUGUAGAAGCCCUCCGUGGUCGAUUCCCCCUCCGGCGGAGCACCGGCGAAGGCUCCAAGAUGGGAUCUCACGGAUACAGAAGGUUACGAUGGUGGAAAUUGUGUUUCGUUGGCUCCUUGGAUGUUUUUCGGGUACGUAGGCUUAUAUAGGAGGAAGAAGUACGUCGGUGGCCGCCCGAGGGGCCCACGAGACAGGGGGCGCGCCCUAUCGGGGGGGGGGGGGGGCCCUACCCUCUCGUGGCCGCCUCGGCUGCUUCUUGACUUGCACUCCAAGUCCUCUAGAUCAUGUUCAUUCCAAAAAUCACGCUCCCGAAGGUUUCAUUCCAUUUGGACUCCGCUUGCUAUUCCUUUUCUUCAAAAUACUGAAAUAGGCAAAAAAAACAGCAAUACGGGCUGGGCCUCCGGUUAGUAGGUUAGUCCCAAAAAUGAUAUAAAUGUGUAAAAUAAAGCCCAUAAACAUCCAAAAGGGGUAAUAUAAUAGCAUGGAACAAUCAAAAAUUAUAGAUACGUUGGAGACGUAUCAUUCCUCUUUCACCAUUCCCAUUAUGGCUCUGUCGUGCAACACCUCAAGUGUGAACCUAGAGGGUGGUUCCUCUUACGUUCACCUUGAUGAUUACAUCGAGUGGAAUUCGCCGAGGGUGAUUCCUUGGGUUUUCCCCUUGAUGUUUGGACACACGGUUACCUGAUCUGUACUUGAGACCACUGUUGAAGUCGGGUCGGCCCUGAGGGGUACCUGCGUGUUGAUGUGAAAGUCGGGCGGGCCCGUAGAGCACCCGCGAGUUUUCUACAUGGCACGGCCGGGCAUUCUGGGCCCUUGCCGUAAGUCCACGAGAUGGGGCGACGGGGCCACAUUAUUGUGAGUCUCUGCUCAUCUUCGCGAGCCCCCAAUGCACUAACAGGUUUCGGUAUUUGUUCUUAGUUGGCCUUUGGCCUUUACGCACUAACCACCAUGCGAGAAUAGUUAUGGGCCUCGAUGUCACAGUAUCAGCCGAAGCUUUGUCAGAAGUCCAGUUCAGCACUCCUAAUGAUAAUUCUUUAGUGUAGUUAUUUGGUCGCGGUCAACGAGGGUGGUUCCUCUUUCACCAUUCCCGUCACGGCUCUGUCGUGCAACACCUCAAGUGUGAACCUCGAGGGUGGUUCCUCUUACGCUCACCUUGAUGAUUACAUCGAGUGGAAUCCACCGAGGGUGAUUCCUUGGGUUUUCCCCUUGAUGUUUGGACACACGGUUACCUGAUCUUUAAUUGAGACCAUUGUUGAAGUCGGGUCGGCCCUGAGGAGUACCCGCGAGUUGAUGUGAAAGUCGAGUGGGCCCAUAGAGCACCCGCGAGUUUUCUACGUGGCACGGUCGGGCAUUCUGGGCCCUUGCUGUAAGUCCACGAGACGGGGCGGCGGGGUCACAUUAUCGUGAGUCUCUGCUCGUCUUCACGAGCCCCCAAUGCACUAACAGGUUUGGGUAUUUGUUCUGAGUUGGCCUUGGGCCUUUACGCACUAACCACCACGGGAGAACAGUUAUGGGCCUCGACGUCGCAGUAUCAGCCGAAGCUUUUUCAGAAGUCCAGUUCAGAAGUGCGGCAUGGUUGGAUCGUGCUGGCCACCCGAGGCAGUGCUGGGUAUCCACCCUACUCGCAAGGACCUGGAGUGUUGCAGGCGAUGGGCCCAAGACCCCGGAGUGCUUAGUAUGUAGACCGGCGGGGACCUCUCUACUGAGCCUAGGUAGGGUUGCGACGUGUUGAUCUUCCGAGGCCUGGCAUUGACCCCAGAAAGGUGUGUCCGGCCAGAGUGAUCGAGCGUGUUGGGUAACGUGGUGCACCCCUGCAGGGAAGAUAUAUAUUCGAAUACCGUGUCUGCGGUAAUGGACGUUCAGACUUGUAUCCUGAUCUUAUACAACUACAAAUGGAUACUUGAGAUAUGUGUCUCCGAGAUUGCUUUCCCGCAGGAGUCGUGGAAGGAUGUCUGGGCGUUGUUGUUACAACAUGCUUAUUAAUUAUAAACUGCUAUUAUUUACUCUUCUACAUGCUGCAAGAUGCUCGGAGCUGCUUGAAGAUGCUAGUCUUCGAUAGGCUAGGCCUUCCCCCUCUAUUCUGGCAUUCUGUAGUUCAGUCCAUAGAUACAAACCUUCCAUUUGAUACCAGUGCAUACUUAGUAUAGAUCUUAUGCUUGCGAGUACUUUGGAUGAGCACUCAUGGUUGCUUUGCUACCCCUUUUCCCCCUUCUUUCUUCUUUCCGGCUGAUGCAACCAGAUGGUAGAUCCCGGGAGCCAGAUGCCACCGCUGACGGAUACUGCUACGUGGAGACCGCCGAUGACCAGGAGUAGUUAGGAGGUCCCAGGCAGGAGGCCUUGCCUCUUCGAUCGUUGUUGCUUUUGUGCUAGCCUUCUUAAGGCAUCCUUGUUUAACUUAUGUCUGUACUCAGAUAUUGUUGCUUCCACUGACUCUUAUGUAUCGAGCUAUGUAUUCGAGCCCUCGAGGCCCCUGGCUUGUAAUAUAAAGCUUGUAUUCUUUUAUUUGUGUUUAGAGCUGUGUUGUGAUAUCUUCCCGUGAGUCCCUGAUCUUGAUCGUACACGUUUGCGUGUAUGUUUAUUGUACGGUC
rnacentral:lncRNA from 1 species